rnacentral:rRNA from 1 species
UGAGUACGAGAUGCUACGGCAUCGAAGCAGUCUAUGUCAUACUUCCAAGAAAAGCUUGCACUGUCAUAAACAAAGAAUGCCUGUACCAUAACCGACACAGGUGGGUAGGUAGAGUAUACUAAGGGGCGCGAGAUAACUCUCUCUAAGGAACUCGGCAAAAUGACUCCGUAACUUCGGGAGAAGGAGUGCCUUAUUUCUAAGGUUGCAAUAACAAGAUCCAAGCAACUGUUUACCAAAAACACAGGUCUCCGCUAAGUCGUAAGACGAUGUAUGGGGGCUGACGCCUGCCCAGUGCCAGAAGGUUAAAGAAGUUGGUUAGCAUUAGCGAAGCUGAUAACUGAAGCCCUGGUGAACGGCGGCCGUAAUAAUAACGGUCCUAAGGUAGCGAAAUUCCUUGUCGGGUAAGUUCCGACCCGCACGAAAGGCGUAAUGAUUUGGAUACUGUCUCGGAGAGGGGCUCGGUGAAAUAGACUUGUCUGUGAAGAUGCGGACUACCUGCACCUGGACAGAAAGACCCUACGAAGCUUUACUGUAACUUGAGAUUGAAAUUGGACUUUAUUUGCGCAGUAUAGGUGGGAGGCGUUGAGAAUAAUCUUGCGGGAUUGUUGGAGCCAUCAGUGAGAUACCACUCUUGUAAUGUUAGAUUUCUAACUUUGUAUCAUUAUCUGGUCAAAGAACAGUUUCAGGCGGGCAGUUUGACUGGGGCGGUCGCCUCCCAAAGGGUAACGGAGGCGCACAAAGGUUUCCUCUGAACGGGUAGAAAUCGUAUCUAGAGUGUAAAGGCAUAAGGAAGCUUGACUGUGAGACCUACAAGUCGAGCAGGGACGAAAGUCGGUCUUAGUGAUCUGACGGUGCUGAGUGGAAAGGCCGUCACUCAACGGAUAAAAGUUACUCUAAGGAUAACAGGCUGAUCUCCCCCAAGAGUUCACAUCGACGGGGAGGUUUGGCACCUCGAUGUCGGCUCAUCGCAUCCUGGGGCGGUAGUCCGUCCCAAGGGUUGGGCUGUUCGCCCAUGAAAGCGGUACGCGAGCUGGGUUCAGAACGUCGUGAGACAGUUCGGUCCAUAUCCGGUGUAGGCGUUAGAAUAUUGAGAGGAGCCUUCUCUAGUACGAGAGGACCGAGAAGGACAUACCUCUGGUGUACCAGUUAUCGUGCCAACGGUAAACGCUGGGUAGCUAUGUAUGGAGUGGAUAACCGCUGAAAGCAUCUAAGUGGGAAGCCCACCUCAAGAUAAG